rnacentral:rRNA from 1 species
AACGUAGGAGACAAACGUUAUCCGGAGUUACUGGGCGUAAAGGGCGUGUAGGUGGUACCGUAAGUCUGGCGUGAAAUUUCUCGGCUUAACCGAGGCAGGUCGUCGGAUACUGCGAGGCUAGAGGACGGUAGAGGCAAGUGGAAUUCCCGGUGUAGCGGUGAAAUGCGCAGAUAUCGGGAGGAACACCAAUUGCGAAGGCAGCUUGCUGGGACGAUACUGACGCUGAGGCGCGAAAGCGUGGGGAGCAACAGG